UACGUAGGGUGCAAGCGUUAAUCGGAAUUACUGGGCGUAAAGCGUGCGCAGGCGGUUUUGUAAGUCUGUCGUGAAAGCCCCCGGGCUCAACCUGGGAAUUGCGAUGGAGACUGCAAGGCUUGAAUCUGGCAGAGGGGGGGUAGAAUUCCACGUGUAGCAGUGAAAUGCGUAGAGAUGUGGAGGAACACCAGCGGCGAAGGCGGCAUCCUGGACUGGUCCUGACACUCAUGAGCGAAAAGCGUGGGGGAGCGAUCCGG
rnacentral:rRNA from 1 species